CACGAACGAGGGAAUAAAACACGGACGGGGGAUAAAACACGGACGAGGGAAUAAAACACGGACGGGGGAUAAAACACGGACGAGGGAAUAAAACACGGACGGGGGAUUAGGCGAGCAUACAGAUAUGGAUACACAACAAAAAGUGUUCAGAUAAUUGAUGUGAUUAAAGAAAGAGACAUGAGUUUAUUUGAAAAAAUAUGUAGUAACCCAGACCACUCUUUAUACGAACUACUUCCUCCUAAAAGACAAAGACCGUUAAGAGAACGCGAACACGAUUUCAUAUUACCUAAGGUUAAAACAGAAAGAUUCAAACGGUCGUUUUUAAAUAGGUG